CGUGUAGGCGGCCAGACAGGUCCGUUGUGAAAACUGGAGGCUUAACCUCCAGACGUCGAUGGAAACCGUCUGGCUAGAGUCCGGAAGAGGAGAGUGGAAUUCCUGGUGUAGCGGUGAAAUGCGCAGAUAUCAGGAAGAACACCCGUGGCUAAGGCGGCUCUCUAGUACGGUACUGACGCUGAGACGCGAAAGCGUGGGGAGCGAACA
rnacentral:rRNA from 1 species